rnacentral:rRNA from 1 species
CCGCGUGUGUGAAGAAGGCCUUCGGGUUGUAAAGCACUUUCAGUCGUGAGGAAGGUAGUGUAGUUAAUAGCUGCAUUAUUUGACGUUAGCGACAGAAGAAGCACCGGCUAACUCCGUGCCAGCAGCCGCGGUAAUACGGAGGGUGCGAGCGUUAAUCGGAAUUACUGGGCGUAAAGCGCAUGCAGGUGGUUUGUUAAGUCAGAUGUGAAAGCCCGGGGCUCAACCUCGGAAUUGCAUUUGAAACUGGCAGACUAGAGUACUGUAGAGGGGGGUAGAAUUUCAGGUGUAGCGGUGAAAUGCGUAGAGAUCUGAAGGAAUACCGGUGGCGAAGGCGGCCCCCUGGACAGAUACUGACACUCAGAUGCGAAAGCGUGGGGAGCAAACAGGAUUAGAUACCCUGGUAGUCCACGCCGUAAACGAUGUCUACUUGGAGGUUGUGGCCUUGAGCCGUGGCUUUCGGAGCUAACGCGUUAAGUAGACCGCCUGGGGAGUACGGUCGCAAGAUUAAAACUCAAAUGAAUUGACGGGGGCCCGCACAAGCGGUGGAGCAUGUGGUUUAAUUCAAUGCAACGCGAAGAACCUUACCUACUCUUGACAUCCAGUGAACUUUCCAGAGAUGGAUUGGUGCCUUCGGGAACUCUGAGACAGG